GAGUUUCUUCCUCUCAUCGGAGAAUUCUGGCUUCUCCAUUUCUGACAAGAUGAUUCAAAGCAAAAGUGGACUUGUCAGAGACAGGAAGGGAAGAUAAGAUAAAAAUAAAAAGUUAGCCAGACUUAGAAGUUUUUCUGGCCUUAGUUCCUGCUCUCUCUCUCCCCUCCAACAUUUGCAUUCUUGCAAACAAAAAUCCCACAGCAAAGCCCAGAAGGGGGGCCCAGGCCUUAGGCUCCAGGUCAAGGCCUGAGGGCAGUGGAGGAAGUGAUUCAGGGCCCCCCGGGGGAUGGAGGAGCUGGAGGCUGGGGCCAGGACACAGGGCUGCGGGCAGCGGGUCAGCCUCAGUCCGGCUCGCAGUGCCCCUGCCCCCAUUCACCCACAGGCAGGCCAGCCCGGAGCCAGAGACGGGUGACUGAUGGGUCCCAGCUUGAAUGGAAAGUCCAGAUUCCAGGGAGACAGCCUAAGAGGUUGUUUCCUAGUUUAUCUGGACCAGAAGCACACAGAAUCUUGACUGUACCUUCAACAGUUAGGAAAAAACAAAACAAAACAAAACAAACAAACAAACAAAAAAAACAAGCAUGGAAAACAAGCUCUCAAAGGAAGUAUGAAUGAGAACUUUAAGUGUCAACAUCAUCCUUUAAUCAAUGUUGAAUACUCCUCCUCCUCUGGCAGUAAUAUACUUUGAAGUGGAGCUGGAAGGAAGUAACUCUUUCUGAUUUUCUGGGACUGUGCCCAUGCGAGACAUCACUAAUCAAACCCAGCAUGCCUUCUUCCUGACGGAAGCUUCUCCUAGGAGUGCAGNACAGAAUUAAUGAGGAUAACCCAGUAGCUGGUCGGGUAUGCUUUUGUAGAAUCAUCAGCUACUAUGGAAAAACAAUUUGAAUAGUCAGUGUCAAAUUUUUGGUUCAGAAGUAGGUCUUCAUUUGGACCUUAGAUAAUUGGUUGGGUUACUAUAAAAACCCACUAGAGGGUGGGGAAGGGCAUUUAGGAUAGAAGAAGGCAUAGUUCAAGGGAAGGCAAGGUGAUGGGAAAGAGAAUGCUGACAGCGAUUCCUUCAUUCCCCUCAGUCCAUCCUUGAGGAUACACACACUGGGAGAAAUUUCAAAAGCAGUGUCUAGUUCUGGGGGUGGGGGGAGGGAAGUGCAGCUUUUGUGCAUGUGCUUCCAUGGGGUCUAGUGCCUCUUAGAAUUAAUUCUCUGUUCUUAUUGCAGGUUGUUUCCUAGUUUAUCUGGACCAGAAGCAC
rnacentral:lncRNA from 1 species